UAGCGUAAUCACUUGUCCUCCAAAUAGGGACUAGUAUGAAUGGCCACAUGAGGGCCCAACUGUCUCCUUUAACUGGUCAAUGAACCUGAUCCCCCAGUACAAAAGCUGGACUAAACCCAUAAGACGAGAAGACCCUGUGGAGCUUUAGACAACCACUAACACCACCACAUAGUGCACCUCUUUAGUUGGGGCGACUACGGAAUAAAACAAAACUUCCGCGCCACGGACAGACCUCCCCACCAAGGCACACAAACCAAGGUAACACACACCACGACCCAGCACCGCUGAACAACGAACCAAGUUACCCCAGGGAUAACAGCGCCAUCCUCUUUAAGAGCCCCUAUCGCCAAGAGGGUUUACGACCUCGAUGUUGGAUCAGGACACCCCGGUGGUGCAGCCGCUACCAAAGGUUCGUUUGUUCAACGAUUAA
rnacentral:rRNA from 1 species